rnacentral:rRNA from 1 species
UACGUAGGGUCCAAGCGUUGUCCGGAUUUAUUGGGCGUAAAGAGCUCGUAGGCGGUUCCGUAAGUCAGAUGUGAAAACUCAGGGCUCAACCCGGAGACGCCAUCUGAUACUGCGGUGACUGGAGUCUGGUAGGGGAACACGGAAUUCCUGGUGUAGCGGUGAAAUGCGCAGAUAUCAGGAGGAACACCGAUGGCGAAGGCAGUGUUCUGGGCCAGUACUGACGCUGAGGAGCGAAAGCGUGGGGAGCGAACAGG